AUGCCGUAACUGUUUAAUUUGUAUUUUUUUAAUUUGGCCAGAAAUGGCGGUUGGACAGUGUGUACAUACGCUUUCGCAGCGAUAACAUUUGCAGUGGCUGAAUAUUUUUUCUAGGUCAAACAUUUAAAAUGUUCCAAUUACUUAAUUUGGAUGAUGGCAAUGUUUUUAGCAAUAUUACGGUAAAUUUAUUACAGUGCCUUGUGGAAUAUUUUAUAGCGAUUAAAUUUGCAUUUUGACAAUAUAGUCGUUGCACAGGCGAAGGAUAUGGUGUGUACACACGAUUACGCAGCGAUAACUUUUGCGGUUAGUGCACUUUUUUUGCAUUGGACACACUUGAGCUUGAACUUGAAGUUUGGCCACUCUAUUUGCAUAUGGCGGUUUUCAGCGUUACUUCUAACGGUCGGUGUCGCAAUUUUUACUAGUGUUUUUUAUUUACCUUUAAAAUGAUUGAGCAAGUGAUCUAUACCAAUUGGGAAAUUGUAUAUAUAAAUUCCACUUCUACUUGUGUGUUUGAUCCCAUGUGUAAUAUGUUUAUUUGUCAACCAAUAACCAUUUACACCACGAUUCGUUAUCAGUGUGUGCACGUUGAUUUUUAACGAUCCUCAAAAUAACAUUUUAGCCAUUUCCGGUGCAAAUUUCUAAGUCUUAACAUGUCUGCAUCGAAGUUUAAAACAACAAAACAUCUCCAUCUGAUCGAUAUGCACCCUACUAUGACCAAUUUCUCCACCGUUGCCCUCAUCAUUGCAAAAUCCGAGCCGCACAUCUUCCUCGACAAGCUGAGCAGCGAAAAGCGUGGCGUGAUCAAUUUCACGUUGCGUGACACGAAGCGUCACAUUGCCAACUGCAAGUGCUGGAGCUCCGAAGCCAGCGUGCACGAGUACAAUGCAAUGCUACAGAUGGGCGACGUAGUCGACAUCGUUGGGGCCAAAGUGAUGGCCAUAACACCACCAUUGCUGCCGUCACACAACGGAUUCACUGAGAAUCGCUAUCAACCAAGCGGCACACUGUCGUGUGCACUUGUUGUCAACGAAGGACACGGCUAUUUGGUAAAACAUAGCAGCGACGACCAGGCAACACUGCAAGCAUUGUUGCAACUUUGCGGGCAAUCGCACAAAGCACUGAGUACAGCUCUCAAACUCCGGGAUGUGCGUUGCGUGAUGCCAGGCGGUGAACAGCGUCCGGCUGCCUUUGUUGAUCUGUUCGUGGCAGUGGCCACGAUGCCGCCGGUGCGUGAACUGAAACGCAAGCAGCCACGCAAUGGCAGCACACUCCUGCAGUGCCUUGAACUGGUGGUCAUCGAUACCAGCUGUGCGUCGGGCAUGAUGUUGACGCUGUGGCACGUGAAUUGGAUACGUCGUGCUCAGCGCUGGCAAGCGGGCAAAACGCUGUUGCAUCUGAUCGAUGUGCGUGUCGCGCAUUCGCAAUUUCAUGGCUGUUCAGUGCUUAGUCAUGCCAGCUGCACGCUCAUCUACGAGAACCCAGAACCAACAAGUCCAGAGGCUCAAGCGUUGCUCGCUUUUGCGGCCAAGACACCGCUGAACAGCUUUGAGUUGUGUGCGCAAAGCGAUGUGGAGAAUUUGCCACCAGCUGCAGAGAUCCAAACUCAGAUGACGGUUCGACAGAUUUAUGCGCGUGCCGAGGGCGAACUGCAGGAUUCAACCAGCGAGCACUUUACGGCCGUGCUCUAUGCUAUGGUCAGCAAAUUCGACAUCGAUGGCUUGGGCACGAGCAUCAACAAGAAAUGCAAAUCAUGUCGUCGCCUCAUUCCAAGCAAUCGCAGUGAAUGCGACAAUGAGCAUUGUCAGCUAGAGUUCUCAUUGGAAUACAGCGGGGCACGUGCCGAGAAGUUCUUCAACAUCAAUAUUCACUUGUCGGAUCACACGGGCACGCUGGUGGAGACGCGUCUCAGUGGCGGCGUUGCUAAUCAAUUGCUGGGUCUCAAUGCGGAUGCCUUUGAGUUGCUGUCGGAUCGCAAAAAGACCGAGCUUAAGUGGCGCUUUCUGCUAAAACACUUUGAGGUGAAGCUACUGAUAAAAAAGCCAACACCUGUGCGCAAGAAUCUUACAAUCAUUGUCGUGGAUAUGGAGCUAACAGAGCUAGAACAGAUCAUACAGAAGUUAGCUGCAUUUUAGAAAACCAAGAAGUAAACUAGAGACUUAGGAUUUGUGGUGUAAGUAGUCAUAGGUUUAUUUUAUUCUUUUUCUUAAGUAUGAAAGUAGUCUUUAGUAGAGAAGAAGAUAAGUUUUCCAGCUUUAACUUUGUUUGCAUCGGGUUAAUUUAUAAUUCAUUAAAUUAACCCGUAGGAACCAUAGUUUUGAAGUCAUUUUGGAUUAUGUAGAGUUAAAAACUAAUUUUAAUUUCCGAAAGGAAUUUUGUAUAUUUUAAUGGCUUAUUGUCAUAACCGAGUGUAUUGUCUAGUCUCAAUCAGUAAAAGUGAAUAUUGAAUAUAAAAUUAAAUCUUUAUAACAUAUAGUUCACAUAGUUUUUAGCGUAAUCUGAGACCUAGACAUAACUUACGAUAGGAAUUGCCCGACUCUCAGUUAUCCAGUAAAGGUAAA